UACAGAGGGGGCAAGCGUUGUCCGGAAUUAUUGGGCGUAAAGAGCUCGUAGGCGGUGUGUCGCGUCGGCCGUGAAAACCUGCAGCUUAACUGUGGGCUUGCGGUCGAUACGGGCAUCACUGGAGUUCGGCAGGGGAGACUGGAAUUCAUGGUGUAGCAGUGAAAUGCGUAGAGAUCAUGAGGAAGACCAGUGGCGAAGGCGGGUCUCUGGACAGUUCCUGACACUGAGACACGAAGGCCAGGGGAGCAAACGGG
rnacentral:rRNA from 1 species